CCUACGGGAGGCUGCAGUAGGGAAUAUUGCACAAUGGGCGCAAGCCUGAUGCAGCCAUGCCGCGUGUGUGAAGAAGGCCUUCGGGUUGUAAAGCACUUUCAGCGGGGAGGAAGGCGGUGAGGUUAAUAACCUCAUCGAUUGACGUUACCCGCAGAAGAAGCACCGGCUAACUCCGUGCCAGCAGCCGCGGUAAUACGGAGGGUGCAAGCGUUAAUCGGAAUUACUGGGCGUAAAGCGCACGCAGGCGGUCUGUCAAGUCGGAUGUGAAAUCCCCGGGCUCAACCUGGGAACGGCAUUCGAAACUGGCAGGCUAGAGUCUUGUAGAGGGGGGUAGAAUUCCAGGUGUAGCGGGGAAAUGCGUAGAGAUCUGGAGGAAUACCGGUGGCGAAGGCGGCCCCCUGGACAAAGACUGACGCUCAGGUGCGAAAGCGUGGGGAGCAAACAGGAUUAGAUACCCAGUAGUC
rnacentral:rRNA from 1 species